AAAUCAUCUGUGUCUGUCUUGAUUCCUGAACCAUCUGACAAAAUGGGAGAGGGGUGUUACGGCUAUGCCUGCUCUCUAAUAUUCGACUGCGCUCGAGCUGCCUGCUUGUCAAAUCACAGAUUCCAGGCUGGCUUUGGCUCAUUAGAGAUCUCGUAUCCACCCCCUCACUUGUUGCGUGAGGCCCACGCUAUUCUUCCCCUUUCCCACGGCGUUGUCCGACUGUGGCAGCUCUCCUUCUUACUCCAGAUGUGUUGGUUGGUGGCUUAGAAUCAUAAAAUUCUCUAAUAAUUUUGGCCCUGGUCCAAUUUCCAUAGGCCGUUUCAUUUGCAGAUGGUUCCUCGAAACGGCAAGCAUCCAUAGAAUGUCCAAUUCGGCCGUAUCGGUAGCAUAAAUCAGCAAGCCUCUCGUACUUACUCAACCCAAGUCUCCGUGCCGUCAGCCCUGGGCAGCCAGAAACCGGCAAGAAGUGGCAGGUUUAACGGGAUUCCACGGAUCUGGAUCCAGUGCGGAAUGAUGUCCACCUCAACUUCCUCUAUGGCAAGAUUUGGAGGCCAUCUCUUGACAUAGAAACAACAUUUCAUAAUGGACUAGGGUCCAUUGUCAGUAAUCUUGCUGGCCAUUUCUUCACCUAUAACGGUGAUGGAGAAAAGGUUCUCCCUAACCCAUACUAUCUUAGCUUCCCCAUAGUCUUUCCAGGCUGCUUUCAGAAUGCUCUUUAUUGCCCCAUUGUUUGGUAGUUUCUGGGAAAUCACAGCGCCAACAAGUUUCGGCCCCUCUUCAAAAUUAGUUAUUCACAGCACCUCCUCCAAGUGCUCACUGAGUUCGUCUGGCGUGGGUCUGGUCUGUACACUCCUUUGGCUACUUCUUUUGAUCUCACUCAUUAUUGGUGUGGGGUUACUUUCUGGAUAGACUAUGGAUUUUUGAAAUGGUUUGGGGUGUGGUAGAUGGUGUUCGUGUGGCUGUUUUAGUAAUGGGUAAGGUUGCAAACUAGUAUAGUGAGGAUGUUUGUGGUGGUAUAUGUGCUUCAGCUUGAUGUGGUGCAGAUGCUUAUGAUUCUUGAAGGUGUGAUGAAAGUAAAUGGCUAUAGCCGUUAUAUAUAGUAUUGAGGAGAUCUGGUUGUUGGGGAAUUCAUGGUGCGUACCUUUUCUUCUUAAAUUUGUUUGUCGUAGAUUGUUGGUGUUCAUCCCUAUAGGGGUAGCUCGAAGCCAAAAUGGGGCGCAAGAUUUUGAGCAAAGGAGAAAAUAAGGGAGGAAUUACUAAGGCAAAAAAAUCUUAUGCAAAUCAGCUUGUCUCAGUCACCAGAUUUCCAGAGUUGCAUUGAAUGUUUGUUGGUUGGUGGGGAAUAAAAGCAGUGGUCGGUGUUUAUAAGAAAGAAUGAGAACUGAGGCAAAAAGAUCUAAUGCAAAACAGCUCGUCUCAGUCACCAGAUUUCCAGAGUUGCCUUGAAUGUUUGUUGGUUGGUGGGGAACAAAAACGGUGGUUGGUGUUUAGAAGAAAGAAUGAGAGGAGCGGAGGCAUAAAUGGUAACAGAGGAUCACUCAGUUGGAAUAAAUGCUAAAGCAAAAGGGGAGUCAAACCCAAAAACCAGUCAUAGUCGCCGGAUUACUUCCAAUUUCGCAAUGAAUGUUUGAUUGAUGGUAGGAUUAAAGGCGAGAAUCACCAGUAAAAAGUACGGUGAAGGAAAACUCCCACCAGGGGGAGAGGAGCUCCCAAGCAGAGGGAGAGAAAUUUUUUUUCUUGUUCCAAUGUGUUAUAUAUGAUGAACUUCUGCUAUUUUUUU